rnacentral:rRNA from 1 species
UUAAUGAGAGUUUGAUCCUGGCUCAGGAUGAACGCUGGCGGCGUGCCUAAUACAUGCAAGUAGAACGCUGAAGCUUGGUGCUUGCACCGAGCGGAUGAGUUGCGAACGGGUGAGUAACGCGUAGGUAACCUGCCUCUUAGCGGGGGAUAACUAUUGGAAACGAUAGCUAAUACCGCAUAAAAGUCGAUAUCGCAUGAUGUUGAUUUGAAAGGUGCAAUUGCAUCACUAAGAGAUGGACCUGCGUUGUAUUAGCUAGUUGGUGAGGUAACGGCUCACCAAGGCGACGAUACAUAGCCGACCUGAGAGGGUGAUCGGCCACACUGGGACUGAGACACGGCCCAGACUCCUACGGGAGGCAGCAGUAGGGAAUCUUCGGCAAUGGGGGCAACCCUGACCGAGCAACGCCGCGUGAGUGAAGAAGGUUUUCGGAUCGUAAAGCUCUGUUGUAAGAGAAGAACGAGUGUGAGAGUGGAAAGUUCACACUGUGACGGUAACUUACCAGAAAGGGACGGCUAACUACGUGCCAGCAGCCGCGGUAAUACGUAGGUCCCGAGCGUUAUCCGGAUUUAUUGGGCGUAAAGCGAGCGCAGGCGGUUAGAUAAGUCUGAAGUUAAAGGCUGUGGCUUAACCAUAGUACGCUUUGGAAACUGUUUAACUUGAGUGCAGAAGGGGAGAGUGGAAUUCCAUGUGUAGCGGUGAAAUGCGUAGAUAUAUGGAGGAACACCGGUGGCGAAAGCGGCUCUCUGGUCUGU